UGUUAAAAACUUCGUCAAUUUCUACUGUUAAAAAUUGUUGUGGCUAACGGAAUAACUAGGCAAUAAUACGUAACGUGCCAUGUGCACCUCAUGCUGUGGACUAGUUUUUAACAAUAGAAAUUGAUGAAAUUUUUAACA
rfam:Gossypium arboreum cultivar AKA8401 contig_17_3, whole genome shotgun sequence.